rnacentral:lncRNA from 1 species
CCGACGAUACUUCCUGCAAAUUCGGAACCAUUACCUUCCUAAACCUUAUAUAUAUAUAUAUAUCCUCACAAUACAGNNNNNNNNNNNNNNNNNNNNNNNNNNNNNNNNNNNNNNNNNNNNNNNNNNNNNNNNNNNNNNNNNNNNNNNNNNNNNNNNNNNNNNNNNNNNNNNNNNNNNNNNNNNNNNNNNNNNNUAUAUAUAUAUAUAUAUAAUGCCAUAAUUAAUAUAGAAAUGACACAAAUCUUGGCACCCUCCAAUGCAACCCUCAUUUUCUAGUUGAAUCAUACACUUGAAAAUUUCCAAUUUUUACAUGUACAAUCUUGAACAUAUUCGAACCAUUCUGGAGAGUCAUUCACUCUACUCAAACUGCAAUUAGCCCGAUUAAACGAAUCGAACAACCUGCCUCAUUAACACUCAUACACCACAGAGUGUAGCCUCACCUUAAUGCAAUCAAGCAACUUCAUGUCCUACGUACCAAGCAUCCUUUACUAACAACAUCUCAAGACAUUCCGUGAUUCUCACACCUAUGAAGCAUACUAUAACCUUUUUCCAAAAAAAAAUUCUUUACUCGAGCCACCCUCGGUCUCAAUCUCCAUAGUCCAUAGCAGAUUCUCCCGUACGCCUCAAACUAGAACCAACAUAGAACAUAACCGUGCAAUCAACCAAGAAAUAUUAGGCUCUCCCACUUAGCUCAAUGCCAUAGACCUAAGCACACCAUAACUCAUAAUGCAUAUACUCUAUUACUGCCAUAAUACCAUAGUGAAAUUAAAAUCAUUCCUUCAUACGCCCGUGAAACAUAGACCAUUUAGUACGUUAAAUCUUCUGCAAACCUCGCAUUCGUCCACGAAACAGACAUGCCUACUCUCCUAAUUAACUCAGACUCAAUUCGAACACAUAUCUUCCACUGGUAACAGAGAUCUCCCAAAUAAAUUACAUAACGGUCAUACAAACUUCAAAACAAUCCGCAUGAGAUAACCCACUUGCUUCGCGUCAAACUGGUAUCUCUCUUUACCCCUUCCAUAAACAUAGCGAUUACACAAUCACUUAGUCUUCUUGGGUCUGAACCCAUAUUACGACAUGAAAUCUACUUCACUUCCCAACCACACAACAUGAAAAGAUUCUUCACACCCUAUAACUCGGGGCUAUAUAUCAAAUUAAGAUGGAAAUCAAUCACCUAAUAGUUCUUUCUACCCAUACGUAACCUCUUCUUUCCAUAUUCGAACAAUCAGAACAUAUCUCGUAGUCACAUCAUACUCAUCACUUUCCUAUCCAGUCAUCACUUCCCUUGAUAGGGACACUAUCGAACAUAUAAAUCCAGAUUCAUGUGCUCAUACAAUUAGAACCUCGGUGCUCAAGCUGCAGGCAAAAUCCAGCCUCAAGUCCUCCGGACUGACCCAUCCUCAAUACUGAGAAAAUCACAUCUCGCCCAUCGAUCAAGGAAUAAAUCGAUGCACGUCUGAUACUGUGCGCCCAUGUGCGCAUACGAACACAUGGAAGGAAUUUCAAGAGUUACAUUUCAAGCUGAAUCAAUGACGCACGAUAAGAAUUCAAGAAUGUGGAAGUUUUCCUAAAGGUUCUGUAGCCUCUCGAAGGUAAGUACAGGCGUCUCUGUACCAAUCCGCAAGACUUUACAAAACCUGGUCAUGACUCGUGAAACCUAUGUAACCUUGACUCUGAUACUAACUUGUCACAACCCCAAACCCCGAUCCGAUCGUGAUGGCACCUCUCAUGAAGACAAUGCCAGCCAACCAACCCAUUUCACCUUUUUAGAAUAUUUAAUAUUACAAAACAAUUUUGAGCAUGAUUAGACAAACACAGUCUAUACAAAAGAAUUCUUUUUAAAGUGUGGAAUACAGCCAACACUGGGGUGUCACAAGUCACGAGCAUCUAUUAGAGCAUAAAUAAAACUACAGGGCCUGAAAUAUACAAAAUAAGACUAAUAAACAAAAGAAAGAAAUACGGUGAUGCGAAUGUUGGCAGUCACCUCGCUAAACUCUGAUAACUUAGCCUCCGAUCAGCUCAAAACACGCUACCAGGUGAACAAAUACCUGCAUCUGCACACGAGGUGCAUGGAGUAAAGUGAGUACUCUAACUCAGUGAGUAAUAUAGGUAAAUAAUAAUUUAGCAAUAAGAAAUCACGUAAAACAGACCGUCAUGCUGUAUAGAGCAGUGUAAAACCCCUUGAGAAAAAAAGCACUGAAGCUGUGAAAUCUUUAGAAAAAACAUCUUAGCUCAGUUUAAACUUCUUUUGAAAAUGACUUUUUCAACGAUUACGCAAAUGAUUUUACUCUUACUUAUAAUUUAUAGAACAUAAUAUAUUAAAAAUAUAUAUAUAUGGUUUCAUAUAUUUACAUAGCUUAUUUAAUUAAUUGAAAUUAAUUUAUUUUAAUUUAAAAGAUUAGAUUGGUUAUUUUAUGAACUUUUAAAAAUUGGAGAAGUGCAAUUUUGGCCCCAAUUUUAGACAAAUAGAAACCCAAAUUUGGGCAGCCCAAUCUGAUGACACUUUGACCCAUGACCCAAACCCAAACCACCUGACCCGCCUCACUAGUUGUUCUAAUCGCGGUGCUCCAUCACCUCAGAUCCUAGGGCCAAGAUUAUUUUCCCUCACCUCAUAUAGAAUCAUUUUUGCCAUAACCCUAACUCUAUCUCUUCUAACCAAAUCGACGCCCCCACCCCAUUCCCAUCUCUGCCCGCCUCCAAACUCGCCGGAACUCGCCUCAGACCCGGCGAGUUAACCCAUUGCCCCCUCCCCCCCCCUCCCCAUGGUUCCCCCUUCUUUCUUCUCCUUCUUCCACGUAGCUAAUCUCAACGAAUUUCAUCAUUGCAAUCCGAUUCACGCUUGCAAUCCGAUUCACGCGGAUUUCUUCUUUUAUCUCUUUUACUUUUGUACAAAAUCUGAGCCCUUGGAAUAAAGGUUGGAAAAUGAGAGCCAUUGGAUUAAAAAUCUUGAUCCAAGACUUCCAUUUUUUUAUUUUUGUUCAAACAAGGAUUUUCGGAUUUGGAGGAUUUUCGAUUGUCUUGAAGAAGAAAAAUAGAAGCUUCUAGGGUGUAGAUAUAUUUGGGUUCUUGGGACAGAAAGAAAAGGAGGAUCGGAACAAAUUUUCAGAGAAAAAAAGUUCUAGGGCUCGGUUUUAGGCUUGGAAUAGCUCUCUUCUCUUCUGUUUUUUUUCAUUUGAAAUUCCACAAUAAAGGUCAUUCGAAAUCAGUUUUCUUGUUCUGUUUGUUGUUUCAAAAGUCAGAAAAAUAAAACAAUAAAAAACAUACAAAAAAAUUAGUUCAUUUCCUUCUCUGGAAUUCCAAUUUUUUGAUUUUAGAAUGGAGUGUGAUUGAGUUUCGAUGGUGCUCGUUCGACGUUCUGUUUGUCGUUUGUGGUUCGAGCUCGUGGUUCCGGAUUCGAUUGUCGAUGUUUCAUCCAUUCCCUACUAAGUUCAUCGAUCAAUUUUGGCUUGUAUCACAUUCGAACAUAAAAGGAUAAUCGAAAUCUCAAUUUUUAGGUUCAUCUCUUCCUCCUACUCUUAUGUGUAUUAUGAAUCAAAGCCACAGAGGGAGCCAUUUUAAGAUAGACUAAUCAGUAGUAGUUUGAGAUUUAACUGAUUUUUCUUUCUGAUUUUGGCUGUGGUUGUUGUAACUCUUUGAGCUUCCUUUUUGGUAGAAAUGUGUUUGAUUCCCAUGGUAUCGCUUUGCCGCCCUUCUGUUUUCUUUUAUGAAUAACGUUGAAUGAGUUUCCCGUCUUAAGAUAUGGUAAAUACUAACAAGUUUUGAAAGGUUAAUUCAAGUUCGUUGUGAUAGAUCUUUUCUUCAAUGUGGUUCCGCUAUCCGAUUUAUCUUCAUGUCCCAACCUGUAAUGCUAGGAUUUUGUUUCAUGUGAAUUGAAAAGUGAUUCUAGUUAUGUAGUAACUCGUUAUCCCAAUUGGAUUUGAUGUUGAAUCGACCUCAAAGUUGAAACAGUAUUUUGUAGUCCCCUAUGAGGUCGUUGGCAUGUUGUUCAAUGAGCUGUUCUAAAAGUUAUCUCUCUUUCAUUUAGAACAAAAAAAAUCACUGUUCUAAAGGAUGAAUAUGGCUUCCAACGAUGUCCAGAUUGCAAGGAAAACGGGCUAAUUCGAUGUCCAGUUUGCUGUGAUUAUUAAAAACUUUGUCGGUCCUUUUGAAUAAUUGUUUCUCCUUUUGAAUUGAUAUUUGUUAUACAGUGAGGAGUUUUGAUUGAACUACUGAUAGUAUAAAAAGUUAUAAAUUCAAGCUAUGUAGUUGUGGUGUAAGAGUCUCAUGCAGUAAUACAUUUUCACGAGAAGCCUACACAAUUUUUCA